GGAGGAUUAGCUCAGUUGGUAGAGCGGUAGAUUGAAGAUCUACGCGUCGGAGGUUCAACUCCUUCAUCUUCCA
rnacentral:tRNA from 1 species